CUUUGUUAAUACCACGCCAAUUGAAAAAAUGCAAACAACAAUGAGCUUAUUCUCGUAGAAAUUAAAGUAUCACUUGCCCAAGGCUUUAUUUAACUCAGCAAUU
rnacentral:sRNA from 11 species